rnacentral:rRNA from 1 species
AACGAACGCUGGCGGCAUGCCUAACACAUGCAAGUCGAGCGCCUGUAGCGAUACGGGAGCGGCGCACGGGUGAGUAACGCGUGGGAACCUGCCCUUAGGUUCGGGACAACCGCGGGAAACUGCGGCUGAUACCGGAUGAAGUCCCCGAUAGAGAUAUUGGGGCCCAAAGAUUUAUCGCCUUUGGAGGGGCCCGCGUCGGAUUAGGUAGUUGGUGGGGUAACGGCUCACCAAGCCUGUGAUCCGUAGCUGGUCUGAGAGGAUGAUCAGCCCCACUGGGACUGAGACACGGCCCAGAGUCCGACGGGGGGCAGCGGUGGGGAGUGUUGGUAAAUGGGGGCAACCCUGAUCCAGCAAUGCCGCGUGGGUGAUGAAGGCCUUCGGGUUGUAAAGCCCUUUCGGCGGGGACGAUGAUGACGGUACCCGCAGAAGAAGCCCCGGCUAACUUCGUGCCAGCAGCCGCAGUAACAC